UGCCAGCCGCCGCGGUAAUACGAAGGUGGCAAGCGUUGCUCGGAAUCACUGGGCAUAAAGAGCACGUAGGCGGUGACAUAAGUCAGUGGUGAAAGCCCUCGGCCUAACCGAGGAAUUGCUUCUGAAACUGUGUCACUAGUCGGUCGGCGGGGAGAGUGGAAUUCUCGGUGGAGCGGUGAAAUGCAUAGAUAUCGGGAGGAACGCCGGUGGUGAAGACGACUCUCUAGCCGGUUCGAGACGCUGAGGUGCGAAAGCGUGGGUAGCAAACAGGAUUAGAUA
rnacentral:rRNA from 1 species